UACGUAGGUGGCAAGCGUUGUCCGGAUUUACUGGGCGUAAAGAGCGCGCAGGCGGUCGUUUAAGUCGAAUGUGAAAGCCCCCGGCUCAACUGGGGAGGGUCAUUCGAUACUGAUCGACUUGAGGCAGGAGAGGGAAGUGGAAUUCCGGGUGUAGUGGUGAAAUGCGUAGAUAUCCGGAGGAACACCAGUGGCGAAGGCGACUUCCUGGCCUGUUCUGACGCUGAGGCGCGAAAGCUGGGGAGCAACGGG
rnacentral:rRNA from 1 species